rnacentral:rRNA from 1 species
UACGUAGGGUCCGAGCGUUGUCCGGAAUUAUUGGGCGUAAAGGGCUCGUAGGCGGUCUGUUGCGUCGGGAGUGAAAACUUACAGCUUAACUGUGAGCGUGCUUCCGAUACGGGCAGACUUGAGGUAUUCAGGGGAGAACGGAAUUCCUGGUGUAGCGGUGAAAUGCGCAGAUAUCAGGAGGGACACCGGUGGCGAAGACGGUUCUCUGGGAAUAUCCUGACGCUGAGGAGCGAAAGUGUGGGGAGCGAACAGG